CCUACGGGUGGCAGCAGUGAGGAAUAUUGGUCAAUGGACGAGAGUCUGAACCAGCCAAGUAGCGUGAAGGAUGACUGCCCUAUGGGUUGUAAACUUCUUUUAUAUGGGAAUAAAAUGUUCCACGUGUGGGAUUUUGUAUGUACCAUAUGAAUAAGGAUCGGCUAACUCCGUGCCAGCAGCCGCGGUAAUACGGAGGAUCCGAGAGUUAUCCGGAUUUAUUGGGUUUAAAGGGAGCGUAGGUGGAUUGUUAAGUCAGUUGUGAAAGUUUGCGGCUCAACCGUAAAAUUGCAGUUGAAACUGGCAGUCUUGAGUACAGUAGAGGUGGGCGGAAUUCGUGGUGUAGCGGUGAAAUGCUUAGAUAUCACGAAGAACUCCGAUUGCGAAGGCAGUUCACUGGACUGCAACUGACACUGAGGCUCGAAAGUGUGGGUAUCAAACAGGAUUAGAUACCCUUGUAGUC
rnacentral:rRNA from 1 species